rnacentral:rRNA from 1 species
UAAGACAGAGGGGGCAAGCGUUGCUCGGAAUUACUGGGCGUAAAGGGCGCGUAGGCGGGACGGCAAGUCGGUCGUGAAAUCCCUCGGCUCAACUGAGGAACGUCGAUCGAUACUGCCGUUCUUGAGGGUUGCAGAGGAGACUGGAAUUCCCGGUGUAGCGGUGAAAUGUGUAGAGAUCGGGAGGAACACCGGUGGCGAAGGCGGGUCUCUGGGCAACUCCUGACGCUGAGGCGCGAAAGCGUGGGGAGCAAACGGGAUUAGAUACCCCGGUAGUCCACGCUGUAAACGAUGACGACUAGGUGUGGGGGGGUUCAGUCCUCUCCGUGCCGCAGCUAACGCAUUAAGUCGUCCGCCUGGGGAGUACGGCCGCAAGGUUGAAACUCAAAUGAAUUGACGG